AACGAACGCUGGCGGCAGGCUUAACACAUGCAAGUCGAACGGGCCCUUCGGGGUCAGUGGCAGACGGGUGAGUAACGCGUGGGAACGUGCCCUUCAGUUCGGGAUAACCCAGGGAAACUUGGGCUAAUACCGGAUACGUGCGAGAGCAGAAAGAUUUAUCGCUGAAGGAUCGGCCCGCGUCUGAUUAGCUGGUUGGUGGGGUAAUGGCCCACCAAGGCGACGAUCAGUAGCUGGUCUGAGAGGAUGAUCAGCCACAUUGGGACUGAGACACGGCACAAACUCCUACGGGAGGCAGCAGUGGGGAAUAGUGGACAAUGGGCGCAGGCCUGAUCCAGCCAUGCCGCGUGAGUGAUGACGGCCUUAGGGUUGUAAAGCUCUUUCGCACGCGACGAUAAUGACGGUAGCGUGAGAAGAAGCCCCGGCUAACUUCGUGCCAGCAGCCGCGGUAA
rnacentral:rRNA from 1 species